GAUGAACGCUGGCGGCGUGCCUAAUACAUGCAAGUCGAGCGAACAGAUAAGGAGCUUGCUCCUUUGACGUUAGCGGCGGACGGGUGAGUAACACGUGGAUAACCUACCUAUAAGACUGGGAUAACUUCGGGAAACUGGAGCUAAUACCGGAUAACAUAUUGAACCGCAUGGUUCAAUAGUGAAAGGCGGCUUUGCUGUCACUUAUAGAUGGAUCCGCGCCGUAUUAGCUAGUUGGUAAGGUAACGGCUUACCAAGGCAACGAUACGUAGCCGACCUGAGAGGGUGAUCGGCCACACUGGAACUGAGACACGGUCCAGACUCCUACGGGAGGCAGCAGUAGGGAAUCUUCCGCAAUGGGCGAAAGCCUGACGGAGCAACGCCGCGUGAGUGAUGAAGGUCUUCGGAUCGUAAAACUCUGUUAUCAGGGAAGAACAAAUGUGUAAGUAACUGUGCACAUCUUGACGGUACCUGAUCAGAAAGCCACGGCUAACUACGUG
rnacentral:rRNA from 1 species